GCGAGUCAUUUGUAACGUUACGUACAGAGGAUUCUGGUGUUGUGAUCUUUCACUUUUGCCCUGCAUUUAAUACCGAAGAUCAUUCAGCCAUGGUGAAACCAGAUGGAGGAAAUUCUCUCCUGCAUGACAUGAAGGCCAAUGACGAUAAUAAUCCUUCCUCUGGCAAUGCGAAUGGGCUUGGCAGUGCCCAAAACGUCUCUGUGUCUGCUGAGGUGGUGCCAGCUGCCGUUGUGGGAGAUUGAAUUCAGCCCGGGGAAGAGGGAGAAUCAUUGCUGGUUGUGGCUGCAAAACAACGAAGGGCAAAAGGAGAAGGACGGGAACAUCCAGCCAAGUAGGUCUAUACUCCAGCCAAAGCCCGUUGAUCUUGGACUGCGUACUGUGCAUCGUGCUCUGGCAGUUUUUCAAGCAUCUACAGAGAAAGCUUACAGGGCCAAGUUUUUAGAAUGUGUCUGGACUUACAGCUUCAGUAUUGGAUUUGCUUUUGUGAAGAAGAGGCUGCCUUUAAGGCUGAUCUGGAAAAUACAUAUUCAAGGAGCAUACUUGCUAAAUGCUUCAGCUUUUCUCUUUGUUUCCAAGACCAGAAGGUUGUACAUAAAACACACUCCAGUAUUCAUGACUAAAACUUCAGUUCUUUUUUAAACGGUGAUACUUCUGAACUCAAGAUCAACCUGUUGUAAACAGAAAUAAGAUCAAUCUGAACUCCCAUUUGUUUGCUUGACUGAGGCAACUUUGACAGCAAAAUAAAAUGUAGAAGAAGAAAAUUGAGCUGCCUUCA
rnacentral:lncRNA from 1 species